UUACAUGUGGAAAUCUCUGCCCCCUCAUUCCUUGGGGGUCAGAAAUGCUUCUGUAAUACACUACAUUAAUAGAGGCAUUCUCAGUGCUGCCAGUCUUAUAGUAGAGGUUGAGCGGUAGCAUAUUUCCCUUACAUUA
ensembl:snoRNA